GGUUACAGCUGCCCUGCCCUAUAAAAAACACACACCAGUUCUGGGUUUGCUUUUCACAAGAAGCAUUGCCUGAUGUGAAUGAUGCCUCGCACAAAAGAGCUCUCAGAAGACCUACAAUUAAGAAUUGUUGACUUGCAUAAAGCUGGAAAGGGUUACAAAAGUAUCUCCAAAAGUAUCUGCUGUUCAUUAGUCCACGGUAAGACAAAUUGUCUAUAAAUGGAGAAAGUUCAGUACUGCUGCUACUCUCCCUAGGAGUGGCCAUCCUGUAAAGAUGUCUGCAAGAGCACAGCGCAGACUGCUCAGUGAGGUGAAGAAGAAUCCUAGAGUGUCAGCUAAAGACUUACAAAAGUCACUGGCAAAUGCUAACAUCCCUGUUAGCGAAUCUACAAUACGUAAAACACUAAACAAGAAUGGAUUUCAUGGGAGGAUACCACAGAGGAAGCCUGCUGUCCAAACAAAACAUUGCUGCACGUUUACAGUUUGCACAAGAGCACCUGGAUGUUCCACAGUAGUACUGGCAAAAUAUUCUGUGGACAGAUGAAACCAAAGUUGAGUUGUUUGGAAGAAACACACAACACUAUGUGUGGCGAAAAAAAGGCACAGCACACCAACAUCAAAACCUCAUCCCAAGUAUGAUGGUAGGGGCAUCAUGGUUUGGGGCUGCUUUGCUGCGUCAGGGCCUGGAUGGAUUGCUAUCAUCGAAGGAAAAAUGAAUUCCCAAGUUUAUCAAGACAUUUUGCAGGAGAACUACCAGCUGAAGCUCAAAAGAAGAUGGGUGUUGCAACAGGACAAUGACCCAAAGCAUAGAAGUAAAUCAACAACAGACUGGCUUAAACAGAAGAAAAUAUGCCUUCUGAAGUGGCCCAGUCAGAGUCCUGACCUCAACCUGAUUGAGAUGCUGUGGCAUGACCUCAAGAAAGCGAUUCACACCAGACAUCCCAAGAAUAUUGCUGAACUGAAACAGUUCUGUAAAGAGGAAUGGUCAAGAAUUACUCCUGACCGUUGUGCACAUCUGAUCUGCAACUACAGGAAACGUUUGGUUGAACUUAUUGCUGCCAAAAGAGGUUCAACCAGUUAUUAAAUCCAAGGGUUCACAUAAUUUUUCCACCUGAAUUGUGAAU